UUCGUUUCUUUCUUCUUCUAACACACUCUGAGUCUUGAAGGUCAACAACGUCGAGAAUAAUGGCAUCAUCUCUUUGUGCUUCUUCUGCCAUCGCUGCCAUUUCUUCUCCAAGGUAAGCUCAUCUUUUUCUCUCUUCUUAUCAGUUAUCAUCACUUGCUAUGUAGGAAUGAGACUAAGAUCCUUGUAC
rnacentral:sRNA from 1 species